CCCUGAGUACAGCGGCGCACGGGUGAGUAACACGUGGGUAAUCUGCCCUGAAGUGGGGAAUAACACCGGGAAACCGGUGCUAAUACCGCAUACAAUCGCGAGGUCUGCGGAUUUUGCGAUGAAAGGAGCAAUUCGCUUUAGGAGGAGCCCGCGGCUGAUUAGCUAGUUGGUGAGGUAAUGGCUCACCAAGGCAACGAUCAGUAUCCGGUCUGAGAGGACGGUCGGACACACUGGAACUGAGACACGGUCCAGACUCCUACGGGAGGCAGCAGUGGGGAAUUUUUGGCAAUGGGGGCAACCCUGACCAAGCAACGCCGCGUGGGUGAUGAAGUCUCUUGGGACGUAAAACCCUUUCGACGGGGAAGAAACCGCAAGGUUGACGGUACCCGUAGAAGAAGCCCCGGCUAACUCCGUGCCAGCAGCCGCGGUAAUACGGGGGGGGCAAGCGUUGUUCGGAAUUACUGGGCGUCAAGGGCGCGUAGGCGGUUCGCUAAGUCGGAUGUGAAAACUCUG
rnacentral:rRNA from 1 species